rnacentral:lncRNA from 1 species
UUUUUUACAUUUUUUUCUUUGAUACAUGGGGGUGUUUUUUGCCAUUUCCACUUCCACUAAAUAACACAUUUUUACCACACUUUUUAAUAGUUCUGGCAUUGUAAUUAUUUAUAUAGCUAUUUUUUAUAAGAAUAUCAGCUAUUUGUCCAAAAAUCCCUAACAUAUUGGAUAACCCCGCCCCUCUGAAAAAGUAAUCUUUUACACCAGUGACUUCACAACCUUCACAUUGUUUCCUUUUAAAGUACCUUGAAGACAUUAUCAGUUUGUCAAUUACUGUAUUUUUGCAUUGAAUUAAGUAAAUAAGGCACAUUUUAAGAGGCACUAUAAGGAACUUCUAAUUCAGCAAGCUAAGCUAAGUAAACAAAACUUUAAUUAAAAAAAAGACUGUCUUUUAAAGUCAAACGAGCGCUGGAUGUUAAUCUACACAGAUUUCUCUCCUGAAAACUGUUUAUUUGGGUGUGUUUUACGAAAGAGCUGGCAGCUAUGAAACAGCGGCGGCACAGUUCAUUGACUGAUCCUCAGUAGGAGCCGAUUCUGCUCAUCGCUAAUCAUUAACUUUGGCUGAGGAAGAUCACAGGCGAUCAUUCCAGAGUUGAGCAGAGCCAAGACCGACUGAGAGGAACAUCUUUUACUAUCAGUUCUGCCUGGUGAGUAAUUCUUUGCAGUUUUCACAAGUCACUGAUGGAAUCAUAAUAAAGAACAGUGCUAU